AAAUAGUAUUGAACCUAGAGAUAUUUAAAACACAAGUAUGUCUAGGGUAAGGCUAGGUAACACAUGAAACUUCAUGUCACUCAUGGAACACUUAACGGUGCUAGUAUGUUUGAUGGAUGAGGUACAGCAGGGCCUUUCAGGGUUUUUCAUCACUGGGGCAAUACUAGAGACUAUGCUAGUUUGACAGACAGCGUAAUGGAUACCUAAAUCCUUUGUCUCUGGACCUGCCCUGUUGCUACUGCUCAAUCUGAGCUGUGGUCUAACCCUGCAUCAGCCCCGUGUGUCCCCAUGCAGGAGCACAGGUGCUGCUGCUUUUGUCUGGUCCCUGGGCCUGUAGCUGCUGUUGGCACGUGGGAGGGGAGUGACUUUCACCCACGCAGAGAUGGUGUUCCCUGUUCACCAUGCAGGAGGGGUGAGCUGGCAAACGUGCUUGUCCUGCAGGAAGCUGCAUGCAGACAGGCUGGUGUAGAGCCACAGGCAUGAGAGAGCCAGAGAGAUAAAGCCUCUGGGUUUGCCAGAAGUAGUUCAUGGCUGCUUAAUUCAGAGGCCUGAAUGAGCCUCCAGGCCAGACAGUCUAAAGCUGGGGCUGGGCUCAAGUCAAACACACAAAUGAGAAUGUGGCUGGGAAGUGUCAAGGACUCCUGUUCUCUACCGACUGUCCAGUCUGUACUCCAUCCUUGUGGCUGUGCUACUUUGCUGUUAUUUUUUUAAGAAAAUUGAAGCAAAUGGUUCUAUUAUCAAUAAUGUAGUUAGAAUAUUAUUUGUUUAGUACUUUGAGCAUGUAAAGUAUUGUAAAUGCCAGUUUUUUACUUACUACAUUAAGUAUGCUGAAAGGCUUUAGACAUAAAAAGGGAUAAUUUCCAAACGUGAAUAUUUUUCUGAGUCCCUGACUUUUCAGUAAGGCUUACUACUACUAAUAAAUAAGACAGAUACGUUAGACCUGACUCUGCGGCCUUGCUGAUUGGUGCUUAAAAAACAUUUGUUUUCCUCAGUGUGGCUUGUUGAAUUUUCUUCUGAGGAUUUUUGAGCAGAGUUUGCAUCGUGGAGAUGCUAAAAAAGGAAGAAUACAGUUACAAUACAGGAUUCAAACACACUAUUUUCAGAAGUUCAUUGUACAGAUAUAUCUGUGUCAUUUAAAUAUUCAACACAAAAUCUGUUGAAGUAGUUUAUAAUGUGCUAGCUAUAGACAAAACCAAUUAACAUUAUAUUUUGUAUAUUGCCAUGAUUAUAAUCUAAUCUGUGCUGUAAGUGGUUCAUUUAUUGCUUCAUUAUCUUAAUUAAUUUGUUGAGUUUUCCAGACAGAGAAAUGAGCUUAAAUUAUUUCUUAAGUUGGAAACUGUGUAAGUAAAUCAAAGGAAAGAUAAUGACAUUUCUUAGGAUCCCUUUAAUUGGAAAAAGGCUUGAGAAAAUUUGGAAGAAAUCUUCUGUCACUGCUGUUACUUACGGGUGUGGUGUUGCUCAGAAUUAAUAGUGUGCCCCCAUUCCCUGGGCUUGGGGUGUUAGGGGCUGUUGCAGGGGUAAGAAAAGUGAAGCAGCUUGGAUGAUCACAAGGGGAAGUAAAUAUUCAGCAGUAAUGUGUUUGGAUUGCCUGUUUGUUUGUUCGUUGUCAUUUUAUCUUAACAUUGCUGCAAAGCUUCCAACUUUCUGCGUGCUGGAAUCAAGGCUCUUACAGUGGAUUUGUAGCUUUCACAGCAUUAAUCAAAGAUGUGUGUGCAUGAUGGGAAAAGGCUGUUGGUUCCUCCCUCCCUCCAGGGGACUUGUUCAGAAUACCAUUAGGAGUUCCUUUAUUCUCUCUUUUAAAACAAAUUUGGUGUUGGCAAAAUCUGAAUGGAAACCAGAAUGAGUUUGUACUAAAAAUUCCUGCAGUUAGUUGCCAUGUGUAUUUAGUGUUUUACUCUUCAGCUUCUGAGGACUUCUCUGACCACCAAAGUCAUAAAUAGAGUGUUAAUGUUUUGAAAUCCUUAAGUUGCCCUUUAUGUAAUGGGAAA